rnacentral:SRP_RNA from 1 species
UGAGAAUUACAUGGGCAGAUUUUUUUUGCCAAUCCGGUCAGAUUCGAAAGAAAGCAGCCGUAACAUAAAGAUUUGGGUCAUGUAAUUCUCCUAA